CGUUUACGUUCGGUAAGGAUCGGGUGCACAAAACGUCUGUGCUUCAUAGUAAUCAACUGAAGUAAGACACGAUGAUGAUGAUGCACUCUCACACUUUUUUGCUUCUCUUAUGAUUUCCGCGUUGGCCGUCCUUUAAAAUUUAGCGUUACAACAGGUAAAGAGUGCGGCUAGAAGUGCAAACUGAUUCUUUUUCGGAUGCUGGAAGACAUGUGUACAGCACUUUAAGAAGGUUUGGAGCUAAGAAUAUUGAAGCAGGUGUGGGAUGCGGAGUCGGCUUUGG